rnacentral:rRNA from 1 species
ACGAACGCUGGCGGCGUGCUUAACACCUGCAAGUCGCACGGAAAGGCCCUGCUUUUGUGGGGUGCUCGAGUGGCGAACGGGUGAGUAACACGUGAGUAACCUGCCCUUGACUUUGGGAUAACUUCAGGAAACUGGGGCUAAUACCGGAUAGGAGCUCCUGCUGCAUGGGGGGGGUUGGAAAGUUUCGGCGGUUGGGGAUGGACUCGCGGCUUAUCAGCUUGUUGGUGGGGUAGUGGCUUACCAAGGCUUUGACGGGUAGCCGGCCUGAGAGGGUGACCGGCCACAUUGGGACUGAGAUACGGCCCAGACUCCUACGGGAGGCAGCAGUGGGGAAUAUUGCACAAUGGGCGGAAGCCUGAUGCAGCAACGCCGCGUGCGGGAUGACGGCCUUCGGGUUGUAAACCGCUUUCGCCUGUGACGAAGCGUGAGUGACGGUAAUGGGUAAAGAAGCACCGGCUAACUACGUG